rnacentral:rRNA from 1 species
AUUGAACGCUGGCGGCAUGCCUUACACAUGCAAGUCGAACGGCAGCACGGGAGCAAUCCUGGUGGCGAGUGGCGAACGGGUGAGUAAUAUAUCGGAACGUGCCCAGUCGUGGGGGAUAACGUAGCGAAAGCUACGCUAAUACCGCAUACGAUCUAUGGAUGAAAGCGGGGGAUCGCAAGACCUCGCGCGAUUGGAGCGGCCGAUAUCAGAUUAGGUAGUUGGUGAGGUAAAGGCUCACCAAGCCGACGAUCUGUAGCUGGUCUGAGAGGACGACCAGCCACACUGGGACUGAGACACGGCCCAGACUCCUACGGGAGGCAGCAGUGGGGAAUUUUGGUACGAAUAGGNGGC